ACAGUUUACAGUAUCUGCCAGCUGUGAGUAACAGCAGGCUGUCAUGAUGGGAUAUAGCAGAAGCAGCAGCAGCAACUCCUGAUUUAGGGGCAAUCGAUGAAGAUAAAAUAACUGCACAACUUACUCAAAACCCAGGACAAAUUCAGAGAGUCAAGGAUGGAACUUUGGGCUCCCCAGAGGCUGCCCCAGACACGAGGGAAGGCCACAGCACCCUCAAAGGAUCCAGACCGAGGGUUUCGGAGAGAUGGACAUCAUCGGCCUGUCCCUCACUCUUGGCACAAUGGAGAGAGGUUUCACCAAUGGCAAGACAACCGUGGGAGCCCCCAGCCACAGCAGGAGCCCAGGGCAGACCAUCAGCAGCAGCCCCAUUAUGCAUCCAGGCCAGGGGACUGGCAUCAGCCUGUGUCUGGAGUUGACUAUUACGAAGGUGGUUAUCGCAAUCAGUUGUAUUCAAGGCCAGGUUAUGAGAAUUCAUAUCAGAGCUAUCAGUCUCCCACAAUGAGGGAGGAAUAUGCUUAUGGAAGUUAUUACUAUCAUGGACACCCACAGUGGCUGCAGGAAGAAAGAGUGCCAAGGCAACGGAGUCCUUAUAUCUGGCACGAAGAUUACCGAGAGCAAAAGUACCUUGAUGAACAUCAUUAUGAAAACCAGCACAGUCCAUUUGGAACAAAUAGUGAGACCCACUUCCAAUCUAACAGUAGGAACCCUUGUAAAGACAGCCCUGCUUCCAACUCUGGACAGGAGUGGCCGGGGGAGCUGUUUCCAGGGAGCCUGCUUGCUGAGGCCCAGAAAAAUAAGCCAUCAUUGGCUAGUGAGUCCAACCUUCUCCAGCAGCGUGAGUCUGGUCUCAGCUCCAGCAGCUAUGAGCUCAGUCAGUACAUCAGAGAUGCCCCGGAGCGGGAUGAUCCCCCAGCUUCAGCAGCUUGGAGUCCAGUUCAGGCUGAUGUCUCCUCAGCUGGUCCCAAAGCACCCAUGAAGUUCUACAUCCCUCAUGUUCCUGUGAGUUUCGGGCCAGGAGGUCAGCUGGUGCAUGUAGGUCCCAGCUCUCCCACUGACGGGCAAGCAGCCCUUGUUGAACUGCACAGCAUGGAGGGAAGAUGUACAUAAGGUGGAUAUUAUGACGUUUUGCCAGCAGAAAGCAGCUCAGAGCUGCAAAUCUGAGACACUGGGGAGCAGAGACUCAGCUCUACUGUGGCAGCUCUUGGUUCUCCUUUGUCGCCAGAAUGGGUCCAUGGUGGGGUCUGACAUCGCUGAGCUGCUAAUGCAAGACUGCAAGAAGCUGGAGAAGUACAAGCGGCAGCCCCCUGUGGCCAACCUCAUCAACCUGACCGAUGAGGACUGGCCAGUGCUGAGCUCUGGGACCCCGAACCUGCUCACGGGAGAGAUCCCCCCCAGUGUGGAGACACCUGCGCAGAUCGUGGAGAAAUUCACUAGGCUGCUCUACUAUGGAAGGAAGAAGGAAGCCUUGGAGUGGGCCAUGAAGAACCACUUGUGGGGCCAUGCUUUGUUCCUGUCCAGCAAGAUGGACCCACAGACCUACAGCUGGGUCAUGAGUGGCUUCACCAGCACGCUGGCGCUCAAUGACCCACUGCAGACCCUCUUCCAGCUCAUGUCGGGGAGGAUUCCACAGGCAGCCACGUGUUGUGGAGAAAAGCAGUGGGGAGACUGGAGGCCUCACUUGGCUGUGAUUCUGUCGAAUCAGGCUGGGGACCCAGAGCUGUAUCAGCGUGCGAUUGUUGCCAUUGGGGACACCCUGGCUGGGAAGGGGCUUGUGGAGGCAGCUCACUUCUGCUAUCUCAUGGCUCACGUGCCCUUUGGCCACUACACCGUGAAGACAGACCAUCUGGUCUUGCUGGGCAGCAGCCACAGUCAAGAGUUUUUGAAAUUUGCAACAACUGAGGCAAUCCAGAGGACGGAAAUCUUCGAGUACUGUCAGAUGCUGGGCCGCCCCAAAUCCUUCAUCCCUUCUUUCCAGGUGUAUAAGCUCCUUUAUGCUUCCCGUCUGGCAGAUUAUGGCCUCGUGUCCCAGGCUUUGCAUUACUGCGAAGCCAUUGGUGCAGCUGUCUUGAGCCAGGGAGAGAGCAGUCACCCUGUGCUAUUAGUGGAACUCAUCAAGCUAGCAGAGAAACUGAAGCUGUCAGAUCCUCUGGUUUUAGAAAGACGCAGUGGAGACAGGGACCUGGAGCCAGAUUGGCUAGCGCAACUUCGGAGGCAGCUGGAGCAAAAGGUAGCAGGAGACAUUGGGGAUCCUCAUCCUACUCGCUCAGAUAUUUCGGGAGCCGGAGGAACAACAACAGAAAACACUUUCUACCAGGACUUUUCUGGAUGUCAAGGCUACUCUGAAGCCCCUGGGUACCGCUCAGCUCUGUGGCUGACACCUGAGCAGACCUGCCUGCUCCAGCCCAGCCCACAGCAGCCCUUUCCCCUCCAGCCGGGCUCCUACCCAGCAGGAGGGGGUGCAGGGCAGACAGGGACACCGAGGCCUUUUUACUCAGUUCCUGAGACCCAUCUACCAGGGACUGGCAGCAGCGUGGCAGUGACAGAGGCCACUGGAGGAACAGUCUGGGAGGAAAUGCUGCAGACACACCUGGGCCCUGGAGAGAACACAGUGUCUCAAGAAACUUCCCAGCCUCCUGAUGGCCAAGAGGUCAUUUCCAAACCACAGACACCAUUGGCUGCUAGACCACGAAGUAUUUCUGAGAGUUCCGCCAGUUCAGCCAAGGAGGAUGAGAAGGAGUCCUCUGAUGAGGCUGAUAAAAACUCUCCCCGAAAUACUGCCCAGAGAGGCAAGCUCGGAGAUGGGAAGGAGCAUACAAAGAGCUCAGGGUUUGGCUGGUUCAGCUGGUUUCGAUCGAAGCCCACCAAGAACGCAUCCCCCGCUGGAGACGAGGACUCCUCAGACAGCCCUGACUCUGAGGAGACCCCCAGAGCAUCUUCUCCCCACCAGGCUGGCCUGGGCCUCUCACUGACACCUUCCCCUGAGUCCCCACCUCUGCCGGAUGUUAGUGCCUUCUCCAGGGGCAGAGGUGGGGGUGAAGGCCGAGGAUCCGCAUCCAGCGGGGGAGCAGCUGCGGGCGCUGGGGUUGGAGGCUUGUCUGGACCAGAGAGUGUUUCCUUUGAGCUCUGCUCCAACCCUGGUGUUCUUCUUCCUCCACCUGCCUUAAAAGGGGCUGUUCCUCUUUACAACCCAUCUCAGGUGCCUCAGCUGCCCACGGCCACUAGCCUGAAUCGGCCAAAUCGCCUAGCUCAGCGUCGCUAUCCCACCCAGCCAUGCUGA
rnacentral:lncRNA from 1 species